rnacentral:rRNA from 1 species
GCGGACGGGUGAGUAACGCGUGGGAAUAUGCCCUUCUCUACGGAAUAGUCCCGGGAAACUGGGUUUAAUACCGUAUACGCCCUUCGGGGGAAAGAUUUAUCGGAGAAGGAUUAGCCCGCGUUGGAUUAGGUAGUUGGUGGGGUAAUGGCCUACCAAGCCUACGAUCCAUAGCUGGUUUGAGAGGAUGAUCAGCCACACUGGGACUGAGACACGGCCCAGACUCCUACGGGAGGCAGCAGUGGGGAAUCUUAGACAAUGGGGGAAACCCUGAUCUAGCCAUGCCGCGUGAGUGAUGAAGGCCUUAGGGUUGUAAAGCUCUUUCAGCUGGGAAGAUAAUGACGGUACCAGCAGAAGAAGCCCCGGCUAACUCCGUGCCAGCAGCCGCGGUAAUACGGAGGGGGCUAGCGUUGUUCGGAAUUACUGGGCGUAAAGCGCACGUAGGCGGACUGGAAAGUUGGGGGUGAAAUCCCGGGGCUCAACCUCGGAACUGCCUCCAAAACUAUCAGUCUGGAGUUCGAGAGAGGUGAGUGGAAUACCGAGUGUAGAGGUGAAAUUCGUAGAUAUUCGGUGGAACACCAGUGGCGAAGGCGGCUCACUGG